UCCCUUGUGGCUCAGAGGCUAAAGCGUCUGCCUGCAAUGCAGGAGACCUGGGUUCGAUCCCUGGGUCGGGAA
rfam:Ovis aries breed Texel chromosome 13, whole genome shotgun sequence.